GAGAGAGAGAGAGAGAGAGAGACAAAGAUAGAGAUAGAGACACGUAAGAAAUCUAGCAGCGGCAAGUGGCAAUGUCGCGGUUGACGUUUUUCUGGCGAAAGAAGUUUAAUAGUGACGUGACGAUUUCUACAUGUGGAAAGGUACAAUCAAUAAUUGCGGUAAUCGAUGGCAAUUGAGAGAAUGCUUGAUCAGCGUAGUAACGUUCAUAUAUGCGCGUUAGAUGACGCUAAUGAGUUCGAUCACUGGCUCCAUCUCGAUCAAUGAUCAGUUUUGUUCGCGCAAUUCGAGAUGAGAGAUGAAUGUAAAACGUGAAAUGUCAAUGACGUUUUAAAAGUAUAUUUGUGAUAAGAAAAACAACUUACAUUAGUUUGCAAGAGGAAAGAAAUUGUGUACAUGUGCGUGUGAUUCCAAAUAUUUUUAUAAAACAGAGGCUGUUAAGGAAAAGAAGAAGGAGAAUAAUAAAGAUUGCAUGACAUAUAAAAAGGUGCUAAAUAGAAUGAAAGCCAACGACUUUGAAUCUUCGUAUAGGACAUCCUCCAGAAUUCCCAGUGUUACUUCGUCCAAGAUAAAGCUCGGUGCAUUUGGACGAGCUCGGAAAAUUGGAUGCGAGCGGAAUGUCGCUUCGGUGCUUCUUCAGCAACGGCAAGCGCUUCGUGUCGUUCACGAAAACAUCGAUGUUACGCCGAAACCAUUAAUUCAUACGGCCUUCAGCGUCAUUGACGAGAACCAGACAACCGCUUUGGAGAACACCGGACUAUUCCAGAUGGGAAGCGGUUCCCAACUGAUGGCAUCUCCUUCGAGAAUCAGUAGUCUUAGAGCUAGUUCGUCCAUUCUUUUCAGAUCUUCCUCGAUGCCGUCCGACGAUUUGCAAAUGGAGAGUUUGCUUUCGACGCAAAUUUCCGAGUCUUUGCCCGUCCAGGAGGACGAGGAUGUCGCGCCGUCGCCAUUUUUUCUGUCUAGCGAUGACUUGACCAUAUUUGCGGAUCGUCCAGAAACCGUGACGAUCACGUUGAAGGAAACGCAGACAUACUUCAUUUUCGAGAUGCCGCAGAUGACCGAAGAUUUGCGAACGCCCGAGGGGAAGAUAAUUCAACAGGAGAAUAAGAAUUACGAAUACGUGACAAUAGGACCAAGUUCCAAUCGGAAGCUACUGGAUGCUGAAACGCAAACAAUACGCGUGUUGACAAAAUCGCGUGGCACCUAUUUAGGCAUGAGACCUCGUAGAAAUCAGGGCAUAUUUGUGAACAAUUGGGUGAUUCAUGAUACUUAUGCAUCACCAGAAUUGAUGACAGAAAAGAAUGGGCGUAUGAUUGUACGUACAAGAGAAUCGAUGAGCCGGAUGCGAGAAGCGCAGAAACUUCAAUACAAGCUCCCUGAAUCUGAAGCAAUCCCAGAUGCGAGUCCCGAAGAACAAUUGUCUCACAUUUGCCGACAAACACGUUUCUUAGAUGCCGCGUGCGUGAUGGAGCGCAUAAUCGCCAAUAACGUGUUCGCAAUGGCGCAAAAGCGCUUUACAGGCUUGACUAAGUGUGAUCCGUGCGCCCUAGAUCUGGAGUUUGAUUAUCGACUUGAUCUACUGUGGACAUACGCGUGUGAAAUGACGCAUGAUCGUCCUGUAGCAGCGUUUCGUUGUAGUCCGAUCAAUCCGCAUCUCCUCGCUGUCGCUUACGAUGCCAAGAUUAGUUCCGAUAAGACGAAUGGACUCUUACUAAUCUGGUGUGCUAAGAACCCUAGUCAGCCUGGUCGCGAAUAUACGUUUGAUAGUCCGCUGUCCGAUAUCGAUUGGAGUAAGGAGCGACCAAAUCUUUUAGCGAUCGGUUUCUAUGACGGAAGUGUCAAGGUCAUUGAUGUCAGCAGUAAGAAGAUGAAUGUCAUCAGGCAGAGUUGCAGGGAGACAUCGGUGGCUUGCUCACCACACUGGCAGGUGCAGUGGUGGAGCGGCGACGAGCAGUUCGAUUUUCAAGAGCAAAUUUACACUAGUGAUCAAGACGGUCGAAUAUAUUGCUAUCGUUUUAGCGAAGAUUUCUUUGCCACAGAAAUCAUGCGCUUGUAUAGAGUCGAAGGUAAAGUGGCUGGAGUUUCUAGAACUGACCAUUGCGUGGCUUAUGAUGUGCCCAUCAGCCGUCAACCGAGCGCUCUUGUUCUUCGAAGGCAUCCCAUCGUCAAUAACAUUUACUUUGUCGGCUCCGACGAAGGUUGCGUUUAUCGAUGCUCCACAAAUUAUUUACGUCAACACGUGGACAGUUUUCUGGCGCAUGACGGCCCGAUUUAUUCUCUCGAGUUUUCGCCUUUUUGCCGGAAAUUAUUUUUAACCUGCGGCGCCGAUUGGUGCAUCAGGAUCUGGGCCGAAGGCCUUACCGAACCGCUUAUUAUUCUGUCGACGGCGAUGGCAUGUGUGAGAAGCGCCUGCUGGAGUCCUACAUGUUCCACUAUCAUCGCCAGCAUUGUCAACGACCAAAUCUGUGUGUGGGAUAUUCGUAGAAAAAUACACAUUCCGUCGUCGGUGACCAUAUCAACGAAUGGGACGAGAUUGGUCGCCGUUGAAUUCACGGCGAACGGGAAUCAGUUGAUAGUCGCUGAUAUCGAAGGAGUUAUUUAUGUCUAUAAUCUUGAAGGCAUGCCAUUUCCGCCGUAUAAUCAAGCAAAAGUAUUAAUCGAGUCCAUCCAGAAGGCAUUAGUGACCAAACCAGAAUUGCUGAGGAAGUUGAGAAAGCUUGAUUCGUCAUUCUGAUUGUUUGAUUUUCGACGCAAUGUAUAUAACGAGAAAAUUGCCACGGCAGGAAAUUAUCGCUAGGGUCUCUACUGCUUCGAUAUUUCGAGAAUCGCAACAUUGCAUAUCGAUAUAUUUCGAGCCGCCAUCUUAGUCGCGAAACGCGUUGCGGGUCGCAAUCGCGGUCAUCAAAGUCGCAUUCAAAUUGUUCCGUAUUUUUUGCGAGUGUAAUUGUGAGUGUUCCAAAAGUGAAUCUUGUGCGCGAGUGUCACGAAUGUUUCUCGUAAGUGUCGGGCGUUCGAAACAUUUGUGUUAAACGCGAGUGCCGUUGUUAUACACCUACACGGAUAUCUAUGGAGCAACGUGAUUUGCGUGAAUUGCCUGGAUAUGGAUUACAUUGAAAGCACAUCUUCGUAUUUUUCACGUUAUCUUCUCUUCGCAGCAAAGAGGUGCUGCGAAAGUGCAAUUUAUGCACGCCAGGAAGAGGUUCUAUUUCACAAACUAAACGACGUUCGCUAGACUCUACAGAUAAACUCUACACGAGGAUCUGAAGAAGCGACACUCCUGGAGCAGCGAAACCGAUUAUCAAUUUGUUGGAACAGAAA